rnacentral:rRNA from 1 species
UACGAAGGGGGCUAGCGUUGUUCGGAAUUACUGGGCGUAAAGCGCACGUAGGCGGAUAUUUAAGUCAGGGGUGAAAUCCCGGGGGCUCAACCCCGGAACUGCCUUUGAUACUGGGUAUCUCGAGUCCGAGAGAGGUGAGUGGAAUUCCGAGUGUAGAGGUGAAAUUCGUAGAUAUUCGGAGGAACACCAGUGGCGAAGGCGGCUCACUGGCUCGGUACUGACGCUGAGGUGCGAAAGCGUGGGGAGCAAACAGG